rnacentral:rRNA from 1 species
UACACACGGAUAACAUACCGAAAGGUAUGCUAAUACGGGAUAAUAUAUUUGAGAGGCAUCUCUUAAAUAUCAAAGGUGAGCCAGUACAGGAUGGACCCGCGUCUGAUUAGCUAGUUGGUAAGGUAACGGCUUACCAAGGCGACGAUCAGUAGCCGACCUGAGAGGGUGAUCGGCCACAUUGGAACUGAGACACGGUCCAAACUCCUACGGGAGGCAGCAGUGGGGAAUAUUGCACAAUGGGCGAAAGCCUGAUGCAGCAACGCCGCGUGAGUGAUGAAGGCCUUCGGGUCGUAAAACUCUGUCCUCAAGGAAGAUAAUGACGGUACUUGAGGAGGAAGCCCCGGCUAACUACGUGCCAGCAGCCGCGGUAAUACGUAGGGGGCUAGCGUUAUCCGGAUUUACUGGGCGUAAAGGGUGCGUAGGCGGUCUUUCAAGUCAGGAGUGAAAGGCUACGGCUCAACCGUAGUAAGCUCUUGAAACUGGGAGACUUGAGUGCAGGAGAGGAGAGUGGAAUUCCUAGUGUAGCGGUGAAAUGCGUAGAUAUUAGGAGGAACACCAGUUGCGAAGGCGGCUCUCUGGACUGUAACUGACGCUGAGGCACGAAAGCGUGGGGAGCAAACAGGAUUAGAUACCCUGGUAGUCCACGCUGUAAACGAUGAAUACUAGGUGUCGGGGGUUACCCCCUUCGGUGCCGCAGC